GGUUUGUGGCUCAGUGGUAGAGUACUUGCUUAGCAUGUGUGAGGCACUGGGUUCAAUCCUCAGCACCA
rnacentral:tRNA from 1 species